CUACUCCCAGUGAGACAGUCCACGUCCUGAUGCCUGCAAGAUGUAGAACCCUCAGCUACGUCUCCAGCACCAUGACUGCCUGAAAACCUCCAUGUCCCACCAUGAUGAGAAUGGACUAAACCUCUGAAACUCUAUGAAAUCACCACUCUGGACACUGCUGACACCUGUAUGUGGAAAGAUCCGAUCGGUCCUGUGUCUCAGAAACUCAACAAGACAAUACCUUAGCGCUUGACACACAGUCGUUGCUCAGAUUCCAUGAGUUGGGCUCAGUGCUUAGCUGUGAAUCUCUGCUUCUGCUUCUGUCAGCUACUGGACUGGAACUGAAAGUUCACUCACUGCUCCCUACACUCUUGAAACCCAGCCUCUCUGGUUCCUGGAGCAGUUUCUCAAGUCUUUCUAGUUUCAUCGCCCUGCAGCAGCAGCCUAUCCACAGGAUGAACAGCACACACAUGUGGGUAUUCUCAUUUCAUGUGUAUGAGAGUGUAUGCCCAUGAACAUGCUCUGAGUGCUUGUCUGGUCCCCUCAGACACCAAGGAAGCACUGACUGCUGGAACUGG
rnacentral:lncRNA from 1 species